rnacentral:rRNA from 1 species
AACGUGGGUAACCUGCCCAUCAGAGGGGGAUAACAUUCGGAAACGGAUGCUAAAACCGCAUAGGUCCUUUAACCGCAUGGUUGAAGGAGGAAAAGAGGCGCAAGCUUCUGCUGAUGGAUGGACCCGCGGUGCAUUAGCUAGUUGGUGAGGUAACGGCUCACCAAGGCCAUGAUGCAUAGCCGACCUGAGAGGGUGAUCGGCCACAUUGGGACUGAGACACGGCCCAA